UACGGAGGAUGCGAGCGUUAUCCGGAUUUAUUGGGUUUAAAGGGUGCGUAGGCGGGAAGGCAAGUUGGUUGUGAAAUCCCUCGGCUUAACUGAGGAACUGCAACCAAAACUAUCUUUCUUGAGUGCUGGAGAGGAAAGUGGAAUUCCUAGUGUAGCGGUGAAAUGCGUAGAUAUUAGGAGGAACACCAGUGGCGAAGGCGACUUUCUGGACAGUAACUGACGUUGAGGCACGAAAGUGUGGGGAGCAAACAGG
rnacentral:rRNA from 1 species